AACGCACAUUGCGCCCCUUGGUAUUCCAUGGGGCAUGCCUGUUCGAGCGUCAUUUGUACCUUCAAGCUCUGCUUGGUGUUGGGUGUUUGUCUCGCCUCUGCGCGCAGACUCGCCUCAAAGCAAUUGGCAGCCGGCGUAUUGAAUUCGGAGCGCAGUACAUCUCGCGCUUUGCACUCAUAACGACGACGUCCAAAAAGUACAUUUUUUACACUCUUGACCUCGGAUCAGGUAGGGAUACCCGCUGAACUUAA
rnacentral:misc_RNA from 1 species